rnacentral:rRNA from 1 species
AGUGAACGCUGGCGGUAGGCCUAACACAUGCAAGUCGAACGGCAGCACAGUAAGAGCUUGCUCUUACGGGUGGCGAGUGGCGGACGGGUGAGGAAUACAUCGGAAUCUACUUUUUCGUGGGGGAUAACGUAGGGAAACUUACGCUAAUACCGCAUACGACCUACGGGUGAAAGCAGGGGAUCUUCGGACCUUGCGCGAUUGAAUGAGCCGAUGUCGGAUUAGCUAGUUGGCGGGGUAAAGGCCCACCAAGGCGACGAUCCGUAGCGGGUCUGGGGGGGUGAUCAGCCACAGUGGAACUGGAACACGGGCCGGACUCCUACGGGGGGCAGCAGGGGGGAAUAUGGGACAAGGGCGCAAGCCUGAUCCAGCCAUACCGCGUGGGUGAAGAAGGCCUUCGGGUUGUAAAGCCCUUUUGUUGGGAAAGAAAAGCAGCAGGUUAAUACCCCGCUGUUCUGACGGUACCCAAAGAAUAAGCACCGGCUAACUUCGUG